ensembl:lncRNA
UAAUCAUAUUUGCAUUAUGUAUGCAGGUCUGCACACCCAUUACUCUCGAUGAAAUAUCUCACAAACUCACUUCACUCCUCUUUUUUUACCAACUCAUAUCUGGUCACCCUACUGAAAGUUAUAGUUUCAUGUUACUAUGAACAUUGAUGUAGCAACAUAAGUAUGACUUAAUUGUAACCUAUUUAAUUAAUUGUGUCUAGAUAUCACUGGAUGCAGAAAGUGCCAACCUGAAAGUUUUCUCCUUCAGUUGUGCGGCUGGUAAAGGAUUCUGCAAUCACAUAGUUGCCAUCCUGUACCAGACCGCACAUUAUUCACAGCUGGGUCUGCAGGCUGUUCCACCCCCCUGGCCUGCACAAGUGGCUUGCAAAGAUGGCACAGACCAAGAACACAGGGAAUCCAUCCUGAACCGGUUAGUGAGCUGGUGGUGCAAUGAAGCGUGGUCUACUAGUGGAGCCUGAAGUGCUGGCAAACUAUGCUGAACUGUUGCGAGUUAAUGGAGAAAUUGGAUAUAUAUUAUUAUGGCACAUACAUGAAUGCAUACCUUGAAUUACACUAAUCUUGUCUUUACCAAUCAGUUUAGCCUUCUGUCUUACUGUUAAUGAUCUGUAAUGUUAUUUUUUUAUUGUAAAUGUUUGAUGUUAUUUGAGUUGUUAUUAAUCAGUUGAUGUUACGCAUACCAAAAAAUUAAAUGAUGCACAAUUUUGACCAAAAUUGUUUUAUUUGUUCAUCUAAUUUUUUUUUGUGAAAUCAAAGUCACAUUUUAACAGAAAAAUAUUAAGAAUAUAACAAUUAUAUUUAACUUCAUUUUUAAGAAUAUGUGGGAACACUAAAUUAUUUACAUACUAUUUAGAAUAGAUUAGAUUGUAGAAACGUAUUUGGUCGUCCGACGAACAGUAUCGGCUGAAGACAGUAGGGGGUGGUAGACCAGUGUUUUGCAACUUGGCUUCUAAGUCAUGGAUGUAAUCCAAAGCCUCAUCCAGAGCACCUGUAAAGAUAAAAGAAAUUAA